UCUUUCUGAGGUGCUGAGUCCUGCCCAUGGAGAUGCUCCAGGAGCUCCUGGGUUGCAUCAGCCAAGGCUGAAGGUCAGCUCAGGAGGAGCUGGACCAGGUGCAGCUCCUGCAGUGGGGGGCUUGCAGAUGCUAGAGCUGUGCAAGUGAACUGCAGGUUUAGAGUCUGCAAAAGAACUGCAGGCAGGGAGAAGCUAGCUCCCUGACUCAGCAGCUGCAGUUCUGCUCUUCUGGAAACCACAGAGUCCUGGAUCUCCCCUGAAAGGCUGUUAACAGCAGGUUUAAAAGCAAAUCUAAUGGAUGUUGGAGAAAUAAACCACCUUUAUCCUGGGCAUUUGGUGCUCAGUCCCACUGCUUCUGCAGAGCUCAGGCUGCACAGGCACAGCACUGCUCAGCUCUUGGCUCCUGUUCAGAUCUCAAGACGUCUUCGGCGAUAAGGAGCAUUGUGGCUUCCAAUGGCAUCAAUGGGCUCUUGCACAGGAGGCACAGCAUCUUCUGUUGUGUUGGCUGGAAGUAAAGCCGUGAGGCACAGCCAAAACCCAGCUUUCUGACUGCAAUAAAGUGCCAAAAUGUCACUCCUCCUUCUGUGCUUCUCUCUGGAGCAUUCCUUCCCUUCCUGCACAUAUCGCUCGCUUUGUGGUUCGUCAGCUCUGGGUGGGCUGUGCUGCCCAUGCUGCCUGAUGGAGCCCGAGUGGAUCUGCUUGAGAACGUGCUUCAAUCUCACCUAUGUUUUAUUCCUGGAUAUAUCCUGGCUUCAGCACAUAUCAAGUCCGUUGUUGAGCCAAGGCCCGCGCCAACACAUCAAGAAUUUGGAUUCCUUUACGCUGCUCAUUGUCCUUCAGAACUAAGCAGUGCUUCUUCCCAUGCAUUUGAAAGGAAAAAAAUUCAAUUUUGUAGCAUGGUGAAGAAGCUGGGUGAAUGUUUAGAGUGGCAAAGCCCAAGGCGGUCUGUAUUACAUUCUGCUAACUUCAUCAGGCGUAGGUCUUGCUGGAGGCCACCAUUCUCAGGCCCUGCUGAGAACAGCUUCAGUGACAUGCUCUCCCUGUGACCUCUAUUUCAGCCCUCCUGGUGGUUGGCUGCUGACUCUCUGGUCCUAUUCAGAAUUAUAAGAGAGAUAAGUGGGAUUUCCUCUGUGCUGGCAGAGCAAAGGAGGAGUGUGGACCUGUGCUUACAUAACGAACCCCCAUGUGGCAGGAAAGGGUCCUGUGGCCCACAGCUGCCUGAUGAUGUGCAAAAAGCAAAUUGCUGUCAUUGCAGAUGUGCUGAGAAUGACUUCUGGAAGCUGCUAUCUAAAAUCUGGAAACAAAUAUUGCAUGAGGAGGAAAAGAGAAUACAGUCCAGAAAACACAGCUGUACUCUCAGAAUGCGUUGGUCAUAGGGACAGCAGCUGUCCCCAGGCAUAAUAUUUCUCAUUAAAAAGAUAAGUAAGAUUAGGAGUUUCUCCAGGGCUUUUAAAAUAUACUGUCAGAGGAUUAUAGAAUUGUUAAGGUUGGAAGAGACCACAAAGAUCCUCUAGUCCAACCACCAACCCACCACCAUGUCCACUACACGGCUGAGGGUGAAGCAGAGGUCUUUGUGGUGGAGGCCCAGCAGUGGCAAAGGGGAUUGCUGAGGAUGAAGAAGAUCCUUGUGUCAUUUUGGGGUGGGAUAUCUUCCAAAAGAGUGGUGAUGCAGUGGCAGAGCUGC